AUUGAACGCUGGCGGCAGGCCUAACACAUGCAAGUCGAACGAGUGGCGGACGGGUGAGUAAUGUCUGGGAAACUGCCUGAUGGAGGGGGAUAACUACUGGAAACGGUAGCUAAUACCGCAUACCAUCGGAUGUGCCCAGAUGGGAUUAGCUUGUAGGUGAGGUAACGGCUCACCUAGGCGACGAUCCCUAGCUGGUCUGAGAGGAUGACCAGCCACACUGGAACUGAGGCACGGUCCAUCGUCCUACGGGGGGCAGCAGUGGGGAAUAUUGCACAAUGGGCGCAAGCCUGAUGCAGCCAUGACGCGUGUAUGAAGAAGGUAUUCGGAUUUUAAAGCACUUUAAGUUGGGAGGCGGUAACAACAGAAUAAGCACCGGCUAACUUCGUGCCAGCAGCCGCGGUAAUAC
rnacentral:rRNA from 1 species